rnacentral:rRNA from 1 species
AUUGAACGCUGGCGGCAGGCCUAACACAUGCAAGUCGAGCGCGCGGCGGACGGGUGAGUAAUGUACGGGGAUCCGCCCGAUAGAGGGGGAAAACUACGGGAAAAGGUGGCUAAUACCGCAAACUAUCGGAUGAACACAUAUGGGAUUAGCCAGUAGGUGGGGUAAAGGCUCACCUAGGCGACGAUCCCUAGCUGGUCUGCGAGGAUGAACAGCCACACUGGGACUGAGACACGGCCCCGACUCCUACGGGAGGCAGCAGUGGGGAAUAUUGCACAAUGGGCGCAAGCCUGAUGCAGCCAUGCCGCGUGUAUGAAGAAGGCCUUCGGGUUGUAAAGCACUUUCAGCGGGGAGGCGUUACCCGCAGAAGAAGCACCGGCUAACUCCGUGCCAGCAGCCGCGGUAAUAC